CCUACGGGAGGCAGCAGUGAGGAAUAUUGGACAAUGGGCGCAAGCCUGAUCCAGCCAUGCCGCGUGCAGGAAGACGCAUCUAUGGUGUGUAAACUGCUUUUGUACGGGAAGAAACACUCCCUCGUGAGGGAGCUUGACGGUACCGUAAGAAUAAGGAUCGGCUAACUCCGUGCCAGCAGCCGCGGUAAUACGGAGGAUCCAAGCGUUAUCCGGAAUCAUUGGGUUUAAAGGGUCCGUAGGCGGUUUAAUAAGUCAGUGGUGAAAGCCCAUCGCUCAACGAUGGAACGGCCAUUGAUACUGUUAGACUUGAAUUACUAGGAAGUAACUAGAAUAUGUAGUGUAGCGGUGAAAUGCUUAGAUAUUACAUGGAAUACCAAUUGCGAAGGCAGGUUACUACUAGUGGAUUGACGCUGAUGGACGAAAGCGUGGGGAGCGAACAGGAUUAGAUACCCUGGUAGUCCACGCCGUAAACGAUGGAUACUAGCUGUUGGGCGCAAGUUCAGUGGCUAAGCGAAAGUGAUAAGUAUCCCACCUGGGGAGUACGUUCGCAAAGAAGUUAGAAAGUAAAGUUAAAGUUAGUAGGCGNGNGAGNGCGACGGACGACGACGAGGAGGAGG
rnacentral:rRNA from 1 species